rnacentral:misc_RNA from 1 species
UCCGGUUUGUCACCGGCAGUCUCGCGUGAGUCCCCAACUUAAUGCUGGCAACACGCGACAAGGGUUGCGCUCGUUAUGGGACUUAACCCGACAUCUCACGACACGAGCUGACGACAGCCAUGCAGCACCUGUGUUCCGGUUCCCUUUCGGGCACCCCCGCCUUUCAGCAGGCUUCCGGACAUGUCAAGGGUAGGUAAGGUUGUUCGCGUUGCAUCGAAUUAAUCCACAUCAUCCACCGCUUGUGCGGGUCCCCGUCAAUUCCUUUGAGUUUUAACCUUGCGGCCGUACUCCCCAGGCGGUCAACUUCACGCGUUAGCUUCGUUACUAAGGGAGUUAAUCCCCCAACAACCAGUUGACAUCGUUUAGGGCGUGGACUAC